GGAGUGAAUGUACUGUAUGAUUCCUCUGAACUGGCACUGCUGGUAUAUUUGGCACUUGUGAAAGAGGAGAGUCCUACAGACGGCACUGCUGCUCUGGGCAAGCCUGGUAUAUGGAAACCCCGAGGACAGAUGCAGUGGGAGACAAAGCUGCAGAGCUCAUGCUAUGAGUGUGCAAGUGACUGCAGCCCUCUGGUGGUCAAAAACAAGAUUCUCUUCGGGAACCUGCUUGGAAGAAUCCCAUGGGCUAGGGCCCUAGAAGGAAGAGGACUCCAGGACAGCUGGUUGAUAGUCAAGGAUCACCUCCUCCAAGCUCAAGAACGGUCCAUCCCAACAAGCAGGAAGUCUGGGAAAGGAGGCAGGAGACCUGCAUGA
rnacentral:lncRNA from 1 species